rnacentral:lncRNA from 1 species
CCUCCCAGCUUCAAGCAAUGCUCCCACCUUGGCCUCCCAAAGUGCUGGGAUUACAGGCAUGAGCCACCAUGCCUGGCCAUUGCCAUUGCACUUCAGCUGGUUCUCCUGAACCUUGAAUUAUCUUAGGAAAGAUUGUAUUUUCAGGAAUUAAGUCUAUUGGAGACACAGCAGGACUCCACAGCCAGCUAGAUUUGGAUAAAAUGUAGACCGCCUCAAGGCCAGUGUGUUGACUUCUGACCAGUCUCAUCUGAACCCACACCCUUUAACAUAUAUACAAAACACCCUGAAGGGUUGGGCUGCCAGCUUUCUUUAGGAUGAUAGAGGGCAGGUUAAGUUUGUUUGACAUAACUAGAAGAGGUGGAGACUCUUCCUAAUGGAGCAAGGUCCAUUUAUGGCGAAUUGUGGUCCCCCACCACUAUCAGCUACUUCUGGAUAGCUUUUGCUUAAAGUUGAUGAGAUAUUGUUUCUUUCA